GGUGUAGAUAAUAGCCAGGUGUAGAUAAUAGCCAGGUGUAGGCACCGGCCAGGUGUAGAUAAUAGCCAGGUGUAGAUAAUAGCCAGGUGUAGGCACCGGCCAGGUGUAGAUAAUAGCCAGGUGUAGAUAAUAGCCAGGUGUAGGCACCGGCCAGGUGUAGAUAAUAGCCAGGUGUAGAUAAUAGCCAGGUGUAGGCACCGGCCAGGUGUAGGCAACAGUAAAGUGGUUGACAACAACCUGUAAUAGACGGCAAUCACGUGGUAGCAAACAGCCAAGGUGUCGGCAAGAGCUGUACGGGGUUCGGCAGUAGCCGCCAAUGACCAUGAACCAGAUGCGUCAACACCGUGAGUAGCGGCCGGUCGCACGUGGCACGGACCGUGCUGUGCGCGGCUUCACGUUCCGAUGGACGCCCCCCACCCACCCCCCCAGAGCUUCGCAACGUCGUCGUUGCGUUUCACAAGCGCAGACCGCCGCUGCCACACGCGGCCUUCACAACGACCGAGAGUCGCAAGGGCGAGAAGAGUCCUCGCCGAUGUCGGCUCCAGUCGACAUCUGUGUUGGCGCCGGGGAGAGCCCCCCCAAGUUC